rnacentral:lncRNA from 10 species
GCCUGUUUUCUUACCUGCAAAAUGUGAGGCAAUGAGAAUGCUAACCUCACAGAAUUGCUAUGAGAGCUACCGUUCAUUGAGGGAUUACCAAGUACCGGGUGCUGGCUAACAACUUCUAGUCAUUGUCUUUGUUUUUUACAACUUUGUGAAGUAUUACUGUUGGAAGAUGCAAUGAGGUAAUGCAGGUAAAGCGAUCAGCAUAGUGCCAGCACAUAACAAUGUGAACUACUUUUAUUAUUAUUACUAAUACUUUGUGGGGUAGUCCCCAGCAAACUGCACAAUUCACAGCCUUUUCCAGCCUAUGAAUCGGGAUAUCUCUUCCUAGCUGGCAGAAUCAUCCUGAUGCUUGGAGAUUUCCACUUAAGAGGAACACGCACUACCAGCUUCAUCGUCAGGACCCAGGUGGGCAAGUUGACGGUGGUCAGGCUGCAGCAGACACUUUUAGUUGCAUGUAAAUUAUCUAGGUGCCCUUUCCUAAUUAGAGAAGAAAGUGAGUUUCUGCUAUUUUAAAAAUUCUUCCCUGUAUGGGAAUUUUUCUUUCAUGCUAUAUUCUCCUCUUGGUGUCUUGUCUAAUUUUCCUUUUCUCCCCCCAUCUAUUGUUCAACUGAGGUGUGAAAGAAGUUGAAAUCCACCUGUAAACCCGGGGGUGCCACAUCCCUUCAUUUAUUCACUCACUGAUUCACUCAACAAACAUUCACUGAGGAUUACUCUGUAAAUGGCCACGUACUGGGUGCUGAGGACAAAAAAGGUGAAGGCCACUGCCAUUCAUGUGGCUACACUGUUCUGUCCCCUUUCGGUCCCUGCCCUUGAAAGUUCCCAAUUCUUGCUGACCUCCUGGAAAAGCCUAGAGAAAUACCAUCAAAUAACGGAGAGAUAAUUUCCCUUCAAGACUUUCACUAGGUCAGUUGUUCUAACCUUUUUAGGAGGCAAAAGGAAUAGAGAGGGGGAGGCAGCCAGCCAGGAUUAUUUGCGGCAUUUUAGAUAGGAAAGCUGAGUUCCAGAGAGGGGAGGGAAGGCAAGAGAGGGAAAGGAACUCAAUUAUUUCAUAGAGUCAGGCCUUGUGCCUUUUUAUUCUCAUACAUGCCUUGUGAGGUGGGUAUUUUUAUCAUCAUUUUACAUGGGCAAAAACUGACACUUAGGUUAAGGAGCUCAUCCAAGUCACCCAAUCUAUAGGUGGCAGAGCUGGGCUUAAAACACAGGUGUGAUCUUGGAACUAAGCUCUCAGCCUGCUGACUCAGCAACUACACUGCAGGUCAGUAGUGGAUUUGGGAACCUCCUGCUUCCCAGUCCUCUGCCUGGUCUUCUAGGCCAACAGUUUUACAACUUGGACACGCAUCAGAAUCACCUGGAGGGCCUGUGAAAACACAUAACGCUGAGCCAUACCCCCAGUUUCUGAUUCAGUAGGUCUAGGGUGGGGCUGAGAAUUUGCAUUUUUAACUAGUUCCCAGGUGAUGAUGAUGAUGAUGAUGGUCCACGGACCACAGUUUGAGAACACUGUUCUAGGUGUUCUCUUUCAAAAUAAUGACUCCCUCUCUUCCCCUUAACGACUCCAAAGGUAACAUAGGUUUGUAAAAUACAACAAAUAUAUAACAUGUAGAACCUACAGAAAAAUAGGAAGAAUGGAAUUCAUCCACAUUCUUCUGCUCAGAAAUAACCACUCUUAACAGUUUGGCACAUCUCCUCUGUCUUCUUUUCAGAGGCUAAGCACAGAGGAAGCGGGGUGGCCUAUGGCUGCUCGGCUAAGACCCGGUUAAGAUCCCAGUGCUUCCGUGAGACCUUGGGCAAGCCUGAACCAGGUCUGGGUCCCCUCUUCGGCAAAACUGCAUUUACACUCCCAUCCCGCAUUAGUUUGUUGGGAGGGUUUAAAGAAGAGCGUGUAUUUAUCAAGCACUCGACACAAUGUCAGAUGCGGAGUCAGCGCUCCAUAAAUGUUGGCUGUCAUUUUUGUUCUAACGUAAGAGAAAGCUGGAUGAUCCCAUCUGGGUUUCAGCCCCGUUUUCCCUCUUCACUCCUCCGGUGGGUCAGUGGGAGCUCUGCCGACCGCCUGGCUGCGGCCACUCACUGCUGGGACUGCGCAGCCUGCCCGCUCCCAGCAGCUGGCGGAGCCGCAGGACCCCCGCGCCGCCCGGGCCGCCGCCGUUAGGGUUGGCUCAAGCCUCUCGGCCCAGUCCGCCAGUUUUACAGCCCGAACUCAAAGAGGGCUUUUAACUUUUCAUUCAGCAGCAGCGUAGCUCCGACUUUUAAUAACACACCUCGUGCACGACAAAAAUUUGCUCCUGGCAAUCAUGGUUUCGACCACAAAACCACAGCGGGGAGGCGUUCCUGAUUAACUCUUUCAGCGCUCCAGGCAGUCUGGAGCCGGCGCUCCUGGAGAUCAGAUAGAACGGCGGCGGCGGCCGCGGUCAGGACUGCGACGGUUCUAGUCCCCUUCCCCCAACCGAGUCGCGUCUCUGCGAGGCUGAGGGGAGACUCCAGGCGGCAGCGGUGGGGCCCAGAGAGCAGGGAGCGAGGCCGCGGGGGACGCUCCUGCCUCGGUGCCUUAGACCUACUGUGUGCCAAGCCCCUUUGCGGCGAAACUCUCCCUUCCUGGGCUGUCAACGGGGCCUGCCUGGAGCGCCGGCCGGCCCUCCAGAGGGGAACAACAGGUCACCGGGGAGGUCGCCUGCGGCUCCAGCUCCCCGGGGGCCCCGACGCACCUUCAGGAAAACCCGACGCUGGGCAGCUCGCGGGCGCCGGCUGUUUUCCUGCGAGACCCAGGCGGUCGGCGGCGACUUCCGGCGCCCUCGGCCGCAGCCCAGGAUCCCUUGCGCCCUGCGGUAGCCCGGGGCUGCCCAGGGCUGCGGGCUCCAGGCACCCAGAGCGCUGCGACCACAUGAAAGGCCCGGCGCUCAGCACCCGCCAGCCACCUCCAGCUGGUUUCUAACUACACCGCCGGGGCCUCCAUGCUUCUCAGAGACCAGCCUUCGAAGUGCCGCCUUACACCCGGGGCCUGGCCACCGGGCGGGCGCGGAUGGAGCUCUGGUCCACAUUUGGGAGCUCACAGUUGUUCCUGCCAGAUGAGGAAAAUGAAGCCCAGAAAAAUUGAAUGUCUUGUCUGAGAUCACCCAGGGACAGAGCCUGGAUUUGAACUUAGGUCAAGCCCACUACAAAGAGUACACAUGCUUAACCACCACACUGUAACCUUCCCACUUGGGACUGUUCCAACCCAGCAAACAAGUCCCUUUAGAGAAACCCAACUCUCUGCCUAAGACAGCUCUUAGAACUACCUUAAAGAAGUUCCUUUUGGCAAGAAGAUAGAAAGCCUCGAUGGGAUUGGGGUCGUCUGAUUUCCAAGGCCCCUUCAGAGGAUCAAAAAGUGGUGCCAGAAACCUUCACAGUUUCAGUCUUGUGUUUCCCUGCCUGGCUCGAAACUGCUCAGCAAAGAGAAUGAGAAAAACUAUUUUCCCAGGGAAACACUCACCUCUAGCUUGAGACUGGGGCUUGCCUUGACACGCCAAAGUAAGAUCGUCAGCCCAUUCAUUUACCCUUACAAAUUGCUCUGUGAAUCCCGGUGCCGGCCUCCCCGCUCUUCCCCCUCCAGGAAACCCCAUCCAGCCUCCACGCUCUGAGAGCGGCAGGUAUCCACCGAUGUUUACUCACUCAAGUUCAUUCGACAUCUUCCUGCUCCCAAGCUCCGACGAUCAGCACUGAGGCUCUGCUGACCGCUUGUCUCUAAUUCUUGCCUGACACAGACAUUCUCUGCCCGGGAAAGUGUUUGAUUUAUGUUGAGGUUUGGGUGUCGAGAUUUUGCUGACAG